CUCGGCCUCAUUCUGCUCAAAUAUUCGGCAUUCAACACGUUUAUAUUUACUCUAUUUAUUCAAAGGCUUAGAUUAUGUAACUCAAAUGUAAAUCAAUAAUGUGCCUGUUAUGAAAGUUACGUUAACCUUUUAAAUGAUUUACAACAUUCGCUCACCAAUCACACGAUACACAUUCUUACUACGAAGUCAUGCUAAAAUGGAAAGUUACUCAUGCGUGAAACACUGAUUAACUCGGUAAUAAAAUUACAAUGAAAAUAAGAUAAAGACAGAAUAUCUAAAGAGAUAAGUGAGCAAACUGACCUGAAAUAAUUCGGAAUUCCUCCAAUACAAAUAGUACAAAAAUAUGAAACAGCAAAUAAAGUAUAUGAAACGUCUGUUCGGUUUGAACAUCAAUCCACAAUUAAAUAUAGACUGAAUAGAAAUAAACCGCC
rnacentral:lncRNA from 1 species